UUUCAUCAUGGAAAGCCAUGGCGGUUACUGGAUCCAGAGAUAGAGCAAAUUGGUCGAGCCAUCUAAACUCAAACCUUGCCUUGCUAAGGGCAUCAUCCCAAGCUUGUGCGUAGGGAUGACCCUUUGCCAAAUCAGCAGCAUGAGCAGCAAUUUUGUAGGAUAUCACACCUGUCUUAACAUCAUCACGAUUAGGCAACCCAAGGUGCUCCUUUGGUGUAACAUAACAAAGAAGUGCAGUGCCAAGAGCUCCAAUGUUGGCCGCACCAAUGGCUGAGGUGAUGUGGUCAUAACCAGGUGCGAUAUCAGUUGUCAGUGGACCCAACGUAUAGAAAGGUGCUUCAUUACACCACUCCAGCUGUUUUUCCAUGUUUUCAGGAAUUUUAUGCAUUGGGAUGUGCCCUGGACCUUCAUUCAUCACCUAAAAGUUGAUAGAUAUCAGGAAGUUUGCCCCAAAGUUUCAACUAUUGAGUUAUAUACAAACCAUGGUCUACAAAUCAGCAAUUUGAAACUUUGAAUCAUCUAGUACUUUGUUAUAUGUUAGUCGAUUUAACAGAAAAUUCCUAGGUAAACUUAACUGCACUGGAAAUAAAAGCAGAUCACUGAUUAGAUGUUAAACAGCUAGAUGGUAUUAGGAGUGGCAUAUUUUAUGUUUGAUAUGCAAUCUGUUGAUCCAGCAAUCAUAUUUAGUUGUAUUGCAAAAGGAUAGCUUGGUUCACUGUUUUCCUUUCUGUCAAACUCGCAUUUUUCAAAUCCAACAAGUUUUGAGUAUAGAUCCUCACAAGUUACAAUAUAGAAUACUUUUCUGACCAGAUCUGCACAGGCGCUACCAUUUCCAACUAAUCAUUUACCUUAUGCAUUUUGAAGUUAAACCAUGUUUAUGUUCAGAACAGGUUUUUUAUUCUCACCUGCACAUCUUUCGCCCAUGCUCGACGUGUUAGUUCACCUUGAGUCAGCAGUUCUGCAAACUGAGCACUAUCAUUUGCGUCAUAAAUAGAACCGGGCCUCAAACCAUCACCAAUUGAUAAUGCCACAUCAUAUUGAUUGCAUAUGUCAAGAAUUUCAUCCCAGUGUUCAUAAGCAAAGUUCUCCUUGUGAUAAGUUAAGCACCAUUUUGCAUGAAUUG
rnacentral:lncRNA from 1 species